rnacentral:rRNA from 1 species
GCGCUAUCCGGAUUUAUUGGGCGUAAAGCGAGCGCAGGCGGUUUUUUAAGUCUGAUGUGAAAGCCUUCGGCUUAACCGAAGAAGUGCAUCGGAAACUGGGAAACUUGAGUGCAGAAGAGGACAGUGGAACUCCAUGUGUAGCGGUGAAAUGCGUAGAUAUAUGGAAGAACACCAGUGGCGAAGGCGGCUGUCUGGUCUGUAACUGACGCUGAGGCUCGAAAGCAUG